rnacentral:rRNA from 1 species
GGGUCAGUAGGUUGGUCGUGCCACCGGUACGUACUGGUCUCACUGAUUCCUCCUUCCUGAAGAACCGUAAUGCCAUUAAUUUGGUGUUGCGGGGAAACAGGACUGUUACUUUGAAAAAAUUAGAGUGUUUAAAGCAAGCUAACGCUUGGAUACAUUAGCAUGGGAUAAUGAAAUAGGACGAUCGAUCCUAUUUUGUUGGUUUCUAGGAUUGACGUA